GUAAGAAUGCCAGAGUUAGAUGGGUUUGGUUUAGGAUCAAAUUAGGACAUAAGUCUUCUUGCU
rnacentral:tRNA from 1 species